ACUUAAAAAAUAAAGCUAUCAAAAACUCAUAAAUUAAAAUAUUCAGCUCGAACACUUUGAAUAUUUCUCUCUCAUGAUCGUCUUUAGCCUUUCCAAGAAGUUUUCCAACGUACUCUGGUUGGCUUCCUUCACAGGACAGGAAUUCUGCAAAAGAAACAUUUCAUUAGCUUGCAUUGAACAUUCCAUGAGAACAGGGACUCGGCCUGCGUGUCUUUAGUGACACGUCCUCAGCACCUAGAACCACACCCAGCACUUGUGGAACUUCAGCAAAUACUUAUUGAAUGAGUGAAUGAAUGAAUGGGUUGACCAAGGGUGCUGCAGCUCCUAAGGAGUGUUUAGAAGUGAGGCUGCUGUCCACCAGGAGCCACGCGGCCGGCUUGCCAGGAAUACAGUGCAGCUUACCAAGCCCGCCAGGCCCCAGAGGUUCCUGUCGAGCCGUUUCAGGAAUCGGAUCAGCUGCUUGUGCCUGUGGAACUGCUGUGCAGUCGCACCCAGGCAGCGAGUGUCCUUCUCAUGGUGGCUGUAGAACUGCCGGAGCACAGUCGCAGCCCUGCAGAAGGUUUCCUUCUCAGUUGUGUUCUGGAAAGACAAAUGCCACAGAUAGCAAUGUGCCAGCUCCAUUUGGAGGAUGGGAGAGAGAUUUUUCCUCUUGAUUUCUUCUUUCCAGGAGGACAAAUGGAGGUGAGUUUGCUCAACUACAGACCUGUCUUCAAGUAUUCCACUGAAGGAAGGCUGCUUGCCACAGACAUAAACCUCUGUCAACAACCUCUCCCAAUUGCAAACGCAGCAGCCUUCUCCCCAGAACCUCCCAGUUUCCUUUCUCUUGGAGGAUUUUGCCGAAAGGGUACCUGAAUAAAGUCAUCCCAUGAGGAAAAGGCACAGUGGGGACUAGAAUGCAGGACCAUCUGUCGCUACAGCCCACGUUCUGCGUCCGUGUCUCUAUACCUCAUGAGCUAUUCUGCUAUGAAAAGUGCCCACAUGAGCUCUCAGUCAGGUUCUGCUCUUGUUCCCAGAGGUUUUAAAAUCCAGCUUUCCCUGGAAAUCCUGCAUGCCUGUUGAAUAAAUGAGUGCACAUCCUUUGGCCUGAACUCUGCUGCUUUGGCCAGCACUCUCCGUGUGGCUCUCCCCAUGGGAGAGGAGAGCAGCACAUGGCCCAAGUGAGGAGCUAAGACAUUUUGCCAGGCAGCAAGAGAUAAGUGCACAGAUCA